rnacentral:rRNA from 1 species
GUCCACACAGUAAACGAUGAAUACUCGCUGUUUGCGAUAUACAGUAAGCGGCCAAGCGAAAGCAUUAAGUAUUCCACCUGGGGAGUACGCCGGCAACGGUGAAACUCAAAGGAAUUGACGGGGGGCCCGCACAAGCGGAGGAACAUGUGGUUUAAUUCGAUGAUACGCGAGGAACCUUACCCGGGCUUAAAUUGCAUUUUGAAUAAUCUGGAAACGGUUAGCCGCAAGGCAAAUGUGAAGGUGCUGCAUGGUUGUCGU